AAUAUUCUACGUAGUAGUUCAUAGAAUUAUCUAAGAUGAUGAUGAAAGGAAUGGGGGCUUGGAUGUUGCUAGCAUUGUUGACUUUGGUUGGCGAAUGGCAUGGUCGUUGUUAUGGAUGUUUGGAGGAAGAGAGGAUUGGUCUCUUGGAGAUCCAAUCUUUGAUCGACCCAAAUCACCUUUCCUUGGGAGAUUGGGUGGACAACAAUAGUAAUUGUUGUGAGUGGGAUGGGAUCGAGUGUGAUAACACUACAAGGCGAGUGAUCCAACUCUCUCUUAGAGAAGCAAGGGAUUUCAGCUUGGGCAAUUGGGUUCUCAACGCAUCUUUGUUUCUGCCUUUCAAAGAAUUGCAAAGUCUUGAUUUGGAAAGUAAUGGAUUGGUUGGUUGCAUGGAGAAUGAAGGUUAGUUCAAUGUUUCUGCACUUAAAUAUAAUCAUAAAAUAAAUGAAGGUUGGUUGGUGUUUAAUGUCAAUUAUCUUGCUUUGAUGAUUCUCUUCCAGGCUUGGAAGUCCUAUCAUCAAAACUGAGGGAACUUGACCUAUGGAAUAACCGAUUUAAUAAUGAUAAAAGCAUUUUGUCAUGUUUCAAUGGUAACCUUUCCACUCUCAAGUCUUUGGAUCUAUCAUUUAAUGAGUUGACAGCUGGAUCAGGUAGCUUCUAUGAUAACCUUUUAAUUAUUUAGCUUCGAAACCUUUUCUUUUCUCCUUCUCAUAUCAUUUUUUUUCCAUGCGUUUAUUUCCUUCCAAUAUGCUUUGAGAAACAUCAUGCAGGUUUCAAAGUCUUGUCAUCAAGGUUGAAAAAGCUGGAGAACCUUCAUCUAAGUGGAAUCAAUGCAACGAUAGCAUUUUUCCAUCUCUAACUGGAUUUUCAUCCCUCAAGUCUUUGGAUCUGUCAAACAAUCAGCUGACAGGAUCUGCUAGUAUCAUUAGUAAGUUAUAUAUAAUUUCUACCUAACUGCUUUACGUGACGUUCUUUUAUAUUUAUUUAAUAAUCAACGAUAGCAUUUCAUCAUGUUUGAUUGCGGUAGCUUUCAUCUUAUCCAUAAAUUGUUUUUCUAUUAAGACAGGAAGAGAUUAAAGUCAUGAGCUAGCUAGAUCAAAACUAGAUGAUUAAAAAUUACAAGUAUAGCAAUGGAUACUUGCAAUCGAUCUAUCUUCUUCCUUAAUCUAUGCACUGUAUAUUUUUUUAUGUAUAUCUUGUGUAGGUUUUCAACUCCAACCGAUGAGGCUGGGAAAGUUAGAGAACCUUGACCUGAGUGGCAAUCGAUUGAACAACAGCAUCUUAUCAAUUCUGAGUGGGCUUUCCACUCUCAAGUCUUUGGAUCUAUCAUUUAAUGAGUUUACAGCUGGAUUAGGAGGUAGCUUCUAUGGUAACCUUUUCAUUAUUUAGCUUCGAAACCUUUUCUUUUCUCCUUCUCAUAUCAUUUCUAUGCUUUUGAGAAACAUCAUGCAGGUUUCAAAGACUUGUCAUCAAGGUUGAAAAAGCUGGAGAACCUUGACAUGGGUUGGAAUCAAUGCAACGAUAGCAUUUUAUCACAUCUGCGUGGGUUUUCAUCUCUCAAGUCUUUAGGUCUUUCACACAAUCAGUUGACAGGAUCUACUAGUAUCAUUAGUAAGUUAUAUAUAAUUUCUACCUAACUGCUUUAUGUGACAUUCUUUUAUACGGUUUCUUAAUCAAGAAAAUUGAGGACUUUAUAUUUAUUUAAUAAUUAAUCAACGAUGGCAUUUCAUCAUGUUUGAUUGCGCUAGCUUUCAUCUAUGAAGAUUUAUAUCUAUGGAGCUUUGAUCUUAUCCAUAAAUUGUUUUUCUAACAAGACAGGAAGAGAUUGAAGUGAGCUAGCUGGAUCAAAACUAGGAUGAUAAAAAAUUACAUGUAUAGAUCAAUGGAUACUUGCAAUCUAUCUUCUUCCUUAAUCUAUGCACAGUAGCAUCUUAUCAUUUCUGAGUGGGCUUUCAUCCCUCAGGUCUUUGGAUCUAUCGUAAAAUAUGUUGACAGGAGCAGGUAGUUUCUACCUAAAUGCUUCACAUGACAUUCUCUUAAUUAUAUUGUUUCUUUAUCAAGAAAAAUAAGGACUUUAUAUCCAUGUAAAGAUCAAUUUUUUCACAACUUGAUUUCUAGGUCCAUAAUCGGCGCAAUGUAGGAGUGGUGUUUAAAUGACACUUUAUAUAUAUGUGAAGCUCCAUGACAAACAUAUUAAAAGAACAAUUAUUUAAAAAUACAAACAUUUAUAAUUUUAAAAAAUAUUAUAUUAUUAAAAUUAAUAAAUCCAAAUGAUUGUUCAAAACUUCUCAUUGAUAAUUAAAACAAGAACAAUAAUGAAUAACACUCAUAUUAUCAUGAAAAAUGAGGACUUUAUAUCUAUGUGAUGAUCAAUUUAAUGAUAGCAUUGUAUCAUGUUUGACCAUCUUUAACAACUUUAUAUCCUUAAAUUGUUUUUUUUUUCCAAUAAGAUCAAAAUUAGAAUGAUUAAAAAUAUUUCUUAAUCUUUGAAGUGUACACAACCUAUUAUUAUUUAAAUGCGUUCGUGAGCUCAUUAUAAUUAAAUAUAGCAUUUUAUCAUUCUUUUAUGUGUAAUUCGAGAAUCAUAUAUCAAUUGAACAACAACAUCUCAUCAAUUCUAAUUAUUUUUAGUUUCUAUCUAUUAUGCAUAUCGUGAUUAUGACUUACUCUUAGAAAGAACUCUCUUGCAGGUUUUGAGAUCAUAUCAUCACAUUUGUGGAAACUCGAGUCAUUAGAUUUGUCACAUAAUCAGCUGACAGGAUCUAUCACUAGUAAGUUACAUUCUCUUUAUCAAGAAAAUUGAGGAAUUUAUAUCUAUAUGCUUUCAUGUAUCAUUUUAAUAUCUAAGAUACUUUCAUCACUGUUUUGACUAUUUCGAGAUAAAUUGUAUAGGUUGGUGUGAAUUGAAGAAUCUAAAGCAGUUAGAUCUCUCUGGAAAUAAUUUUGAAGGUUUACUCCCAUAUUGUUUGGGAAACUUGUCAUCUCUACAACUAUUAGAUGUUUCUGAAAACCAGUUUACAGGAAAUAUUGCCUCUGGUCCUCUUACCAACCUCAUAUCCCUUAAAUUCCUCUCACUAUCAAAUAACCUCUUUGAAGUUUCCACUUCAAUGAAGCCUUUUAUGAAUCACUCAAGCCUCAAGUUCUUCUCCAGUGAGAACAAUAGACUUGUAACAGAACAUGCUGCCUUUGAUAAUUUGAUUCCAAAGUUCCAACUAUUUUUUUUAGCUUGUCGAAAACAUCGGAAGCACUCAACGUAGAAAUUCCCGACUUCCUCUAUUACCAAUACGACUUAAGAGUCCUUGAUCUCUCCCACAACAACAUCACCGGAAUGUUUCCAUGUGGUUGCUUAAGAACAAUACACAUUGGAGCAAACUAUCUGAGCAGAACUCCUUUGUUGGUGCUUUACAUUGCAAGAUCAUCCAUAUCCAAAUAUGACCGAAUUAGAUAUAUCCAACAACAACAUGAACGGUCAAAUCCCAAAAGAUAUUUGUUUGAUCUUUCCAAAUCUGUAGAUUCACAGGUUGUAUUUCUUCUUGUUUGGGAAAUAUUAGCUCUUUGGGAGUUUUAGAUUUAUCCAACAAUCAGUUGUCCAUAGUAAAACUAGAACAACUAACAACAAUAAUGCUUCUCAAGCUGUCAAACAACAAUUUCGGUGGGCAAAUACCAACCUCGGUGUUCAAUUCUUCUACCUUAAAAUAUCUCUAUCUAGGUGGUAACAACUUUUGGGGUCAGAUAUCAGAUUUUCCAUUGUAUAGGAGGAAAAGGUGGACUAUAUUGGAUUUGAGUAACAAUCAUUUUUUAGGCAUGCUUCCAAGGUGGUUAGUCAAUUCUACGCGCCUUAUCGCAGUUGAUUUGUCCAAAAACCAUUUUAAGGGUUCGAUCCCAAGAGACUUUUGUAAGCUUGACUGCCUUGAAUAUUUGGACCUUUCUGAGAACAACUUGUCUGGAUAUAUACCGUCUUGUUUCAGUCCACCACAAAUAACCCAUUUGCAUCUAUCCGAAAAUAGAUUGAGCAGUCCAUUAACAUAUGGAUUUUAUAACAGCUCUUCCCUGGUUACGAUGGAUCUUCGAGAUAAUAGCUUCAUCAGCUCCAUUCCAAAUUGGAUUGGCAAUCUUUCAUCAUUGAGUGUUCUUCUUCUGAGGGCUAAUCACUUUGAUGGUGAGCUCCAUGUUCAGUUAUGCUUGUUAGAACAAUUAAGCAUUUUGGAUGUUUCACAAAACCAGCUCUUUGGUCCAUUGCCCUCCUGUUUGGGCAAUCUUACUUUCGAGGAAAGUUCCCUGAAAGCAUUCGCGUAUAACACUUCUUUUUAUAGACCAUGGUCCAUUGAAAAUGCUUAUAAUGAAACAAUGGGUCCACUACUAGUGGAUAGUAUGUUCAGCCUAGUAAGGAAUUAUAUGCUUAACUUUACAGAAGAAGUGAUAAAAUUUACAACUAAAAAUAUGUAUUAUGGGUACAAGGGGAAAGUUCUCAGCUACAUGCUUGGUAUUGAUCUCUCCAAUAACAACUUUGUAGGAGCAAUCCCACCAGAAUUUGGGAACUUAAGUGAGAUACUGUCUUUAAACUUAUCACACAACAAUCUCACUGGAUCUAUCCCUGCAACAUUCUCAAACCUAAAGCAGAUUGAGAGUUUGGAUAUUUCUUACAACAACUUGAAUGGUGUUAUCCCUCAACUUACUGAAAUUACCACACUGAAAGUUUUUAGUGUGGCGCACAAUAACUUGUCAGGUAAGACACCCGAGAGAAAAUUUCAGUUUAGGACCUUCGAUGAAAGCUGUUACGAAGGAAAUCCUUUCUUGUGUGGACCUCCAUUGCGAAACAAUUGUAGCGAGGAAUCAGUGCCAUCGCAGCCAGUGCCUGAUGAUGAACAAGGAGAUGAUGGUUUCAUAGACAUGGAGUUUUUCUACAUCAGUUUCGGUGUAUGUUACACAGUUGUGGUGAUGACGAUUGCAGCAGUUCUCUACAUCAAUCCAUAUUGGCUACGCAGGUGGUUGUACUUCAUCGAAGACUGCAUAGAUACUUGCUACUAUUUUGUGGUGGCUAGUUUUCGCAAGUUCUCCUACUUCAGAAGGUGAAUUUGUUACUGGAGAGACGGUCGUUCCUAGUUUGUGAAGCUUGUUUGUCUAGCUAUUGGGUGCUUAAUUUGUAGUGUAAUAAAUAUGUAAAGGGAACUGAUUUGGAUUGGUCAUUGACUUGGGUGUGAUUACUCUUUCAACUCUCAAGACUUUGUUGGGACUGCAAUUGAGGAGCUGGAGGGUGGGGAAGUUGUCCCAAUUUCUCCUUGAAACUAGGUGUGAUGUUGUUUUCAGAGACCUGUAAGAAUGUUAUCAAGCGCUCCAACAUGGCCUUGAAUACCUCCAGCUUUUCAAGCUGUUCUGACUUCGGUUGUUGAGGAUGAGAGUCAAGCUGGAAAGCAAAGUUAACAUACACGAGAAUUAAAAAUUUGCGUUGAUUCUUUGUAGCAAAAUAUUAGUGAAAAAAAAAGUUUCGAUGCAUGAUUAGUGCAGAUGAUACAGUGACAGGCAAUGCUGAUGAGGAAAACAAAUGAAUACAGAAGCUCAACGUGGGGAAAUUGCAGAUAAUCAUGCAUGGGCAGAUAAUCCGGAAGAAAUUGCAGAGACAAUGUACCUGCUGUAACUUGGCAGCAAUUCUCUGAUACAUUUCAUUUAUUUCAGGGAAAUAAGUCUCCUUCAUAACUUUGAUCUAGGAAGUACAAAUAACCAGCAAAACAUUGUCGGUCACAUGCUUGAUUUCUUCAGGUGCCAGUCAGAAAGAAAGUAACACAAACAAACUUAAGGGAAUUGAUAAAAAUAAAAUAACAAAAAAAGGGCAGAGUGGAAUUAAUGCUGGAAACUCAAGAAGAUGUCGAUAUAGAUGGAAUGGAAAGAUGCAAAGGGCUGUGUAAGUACAACUUUAGACAAGAUUCAGGGGUUGGUUAAGUUCAGUUACUUUGUCUCCCUGCAAACUACUCAUCAUUGUUUUCUGUUGUCAUAGCUCAAGACAAUGGAUGUCGCAACUUUAGCAACGCUUCUUAUCAAAUAUGCAGUUAUGACAUGAGACAUUCAGAAUUUGAACCUCAUUUUCUAUAAAAUUCAAAUAUGGUAAUGAUUCAAUGGAAUAAGUCCCACUUAUUUUCUUUUCCUUCCAUUGUCACAUGUUUCAGAACAAGUUGAUUGCAAUCGUGCAAAUAACUCUUCACUUAACCAAAGAUAAACUUUAAGUCACUCAGAAAUAGUGCACUCUUAUUUCUAAUUCUGUCUAAUGCAGUAAGAAGUACGGACAAUAGGACUCGUUGGAAAUAAAUAAUAAUUCACCACACAACAAAUAUAGGGGGGGAAAUCGAAAGGGAGAGGUUUGCAAUAAAAAAACUGCCGUGCCAGAACCAAGAAAGCAAUCCUCUUGACCUACAAAUCUGCAUAUUUUUACCUUCAUUCAUCUUAUCAAUGAUUAAUCAUUUCUUAGUUGCUGCAAUCAUGGAACUUACAAUGCUUCCUAACUAAUCCCAACCAUAGCUGAAUAAAAUUCCUUGGACCAAUCCCAGGAGACCUUUUUCCAUUGAAAUCUUGCAAGACUACAGCAUACAUGAACUCCAUCUAAUGAACAGUAAAUCACAGAAAUUACCUGCUGAUAGAUCUCCUCUUGCCAAUCAGCGCCUUUUGCAUGUCCAGUCUGUGCUGUAGAAUCUAGGGAUGCUGCAAAAAUUUCAAUGCGGGCAACAAAAGAUUAGAAUUCAUGUAUUACUGUGUGUUUUCCAUAUACAAGGGUAUUUCUAUAGUUUUCACACUUUCUGAAAAUUAUGGAAUAUUGCAAGUCUCAGUUUUAUUUUCCAUUUAGUAUUUUAUUAUCCCAAAGUACAGCGAGCUUCAUUAGAUUUUUCCUAUUCUAGAUAAAACUAUUAGUAUUUUCCUACAGAGGAAUACAAGUCCUUUUCGGACUAGGAGUACUAGGAAUUCCAUCUAAACGUUAUUAAACUAAUAGUUAAAAAAAUGGGUACAUAUACUCUUAUUCUUGGUUUAAAAUAAUAUAUAUUUUUUUAUUUUUAAAAAAUUAUUUUUGAUACCAUCGUAUCAAAAUGAUAUAAAAAUAAAUAAAAAUAUUAAUUUAAAAUAAAUAAAAUUUUAAAAUAUAAAAUUUUAAAAAAAAUAUUUUUGAAAUAUAAAAACAAACAAGAACCGAAUCCUCAGUUUGCCGGACCAAAAAUUAUUAAGAAAAAAAUCACAUUUUCCAUUAAAAAUGUGAUCCCAUUUCAACCACUCAUCAUAUUCGUACAUAUACUGGACCGUCCCAGAUUGUGAAUUCGGAUGUCCAAAAAUGGCAUGUGUCUCCAUGAAGCUCUGAUUUCUUGUUGGGGUUUGGUUUAAUUAUAACAAAAAUUUAGAGUGACCAAGUUCACGUACUGGGAACUCCAUCUAUACAAGGCUGGUGGGUUUCUUAUAUAGUUAAAAAAAUAAUUUUUAAAAAAAGUUAUGUUAUUAAACUUUAUAAAUUUUAUGGAUAUAUUUGGCUAAUUGACUUAGUUCAUGGAUCUGGCAAGAUUAACUUUUUUAAAUGAGUUUUUUUUUUCAUCCUUGGAUACUGAAUUAAUUGUGAAUUUAGUUUCAUAAUUAAUUUUGUUUCACAUUUUAUGAGGUUAUCAUGAUCUAAAAACAUUUUAAUAUUAAGUUGGUAUUUGAUUUUGUAAUUAUCUAUUUUUAUUAUCAUAUAGUUAAAUAAAAAAAUAGCUUUCAAAAACAAAUUAUAAUUUUAGUGGAGUCAAUGACCCAAUUUACAGGUUUAUCAUAUUAGCUCGAUUUACCAAAUUCACAAGUUUGACGAGUUUACCCACCAUUAUAAUAUGUUUUUUUUUGUCUUUUAAUUAUUUUUAAUAUUUUGAUUUUAUUAUUUAAUAUUGAAUUGGUUAGGAAAUGAACUGCAUUAUUGUUUUUUGUUUGCUUUCGAGGGAUAAUUGUCUCAAAUAAGUGUUUAUUUUUAGGUUGAUGCUCAAUUUUGUGGGCAUUUGUUUGAUGGGCUGAUGUCAAAAUAAUUUUUUAAAAAUAAAAAAUAUUAUUUUGAUAUAUUUUUAAGUACAAAUCACUUUGAAAAACUACCACUACCAUACUUCCAAACACAUCCUUAGCCCUGCAGUUGAACCAGUUUUUUAUAGAAAAAAAAACUUAAUUAAUUUUUUAGUAUUUUUAGACCGUUUUAAUAUACUGAUGUUAAAAAUAAUUAAAAAAAAAUUAUCAUAAUAUAUUUUAAACCAGAAAAUAUUUUAAAAAAUAAUUAUGCUACACUUACAAACAGGUUCUUAUUGUCUAGAGACCAUUUUAAUGUUCGAACUUUACGUAGGCCAUGUGAAAACUUGGCUGCAACAUGUAAUUGUUUUUUUUUUCUUUUUAGUUUUUAUAACGAGAUUCUUAUAUAUAUCCAUGAGUGAAUAAAAUAACCAAAUAAGUUUAAAAAAUCAACAUAAAAUUAAUUGAAAGAACCAACCAAUAUAAAAUAAAAAAAAAACGAUUAGAAAGUUUUAAAAUAUCUUCAAUUGGCUUUAGAUUUAAGAGAUUAAAAACAAUUAAAAUGAAACCAAACAAUUGCUUUUUUAAAAUAAAAAACUAAAAAAACCUCAAAAACAACCAUGCCUAUUACAUCAGAGUCUAUCUAAGGCCCCGUUUAUUUGUUGGAAAGUAGUUUUUUUUUGGAAAGUGAAUUUCAUAAAAGUGAAUUAUGGGAAAGUGAAUUAUUUUCUGAUGUUUGGUAGUAUAAUGAAAAAUAAGUUGGAAAACACUUUCUAGUGUUUGGUUAUGUCAUGAAAAAUGAGUUGUAAAAUAACUUAUUAAUGUUUUAUUUUUCUUAAGUUUAUUAAAAUAAUCAGGAACAAAUCUUACAAAUUAAAAAGUUGAAUGAGAAUGAAAUUGAAAAAAAUAUAUAAUUUAAUAAAUUAUCUCAAAUAAAAUAAAUAAUAAUCAAAAUAAUAGAGAUCAAAUCUAAAAAAUAAAUAAAAAUGAAAGAUGAAGAAAUUAAAAUAAUAAUUAACAUUUCAUAAAUUAUUUCAAAUAAAAUAAGUAACAAUCAAAAGAAUGAGGGCCAAAUUUGAUAGAUAAAAAAUUUCAAUAAAAAAAUGAUAAGGGAAAAGAAAAUAAUAAUUAUAAAAAUUAAAUUUUAAGAGAUGAAAUUGAAAAAUAAAUAUUCAAAAGAAAAUAUAUAUAGCAAUCAAAAGUUUGAGGACCAAAUUUGAUAAAAUCAGCAAAUAAUAUGACAUUUCUAAAUUUUUCACAACUUCUAGAAAGUGUUUUCCGCCUAAAUUUUCUAGGAAAACACUUUCUUGGAAAUUAAACCAAAUUUUUCUUUGACUGGAAAGUGUUUUCCGUUGACUAACUUUUCUAAUAACAAAUAAAUAUAAAAAAGUUUGGAAAGUGGUUUCUCGUAAACCACUUUCUAGAAAACAAACAUAGCCUAAAUAACUAAUUGAUCCUUGAAUCACAUUUUACCGUUAAGUUAGCGGCACAAACUAAGGAAAUAUUGCUGAAAGCUCAACAUUUUACUAACGAAAAAUUAAUGAAGGGAUCGCAUUGUAAACAUAUUUAAAAGUAUAGGGAUUAGUUAGAACAGCUAGUUAUCACUGCCUCUGAGAAUUAAUAUACCGCUCAGCAUUUUGUUGAAGGGACGGGCAAAGGUACAUUUAUUUCCGUUAACUUUCUAAUAUUGAUCUUGCUUCAGUACAAUUUAUUAAAUUUAUUUUAAUAUAUUAAAUAAUAUAAAGCACAAAACAGACCAUAAUAAAAUACAAUAAAAACAAGUUGUGAUAUAUUUGUUGCACAUGGCAAUCUAUAAAUGAAGUGUUUGGCCCUCAAUUUUCAUUUUUUAUUUUUAUUUUUAGAUUACUUUGAUGCUUUGAUAUUAAAAAUAAAUUUUCAAAAUAAAAAAAUUAUUUUGAUGCAUUUCAAAGUUAAAAAUAUUUUAAAAAACAAUUACAAUCAUACUCUCAAAUACUCUCAAAUUAUUUGAUAUACACUUUCGACAUGACAAGGAUUGAUCAUUGUCUUGUCUAAAGUUUUCCUUAGAAAAAUUAUUUUUUCUUAAUUUUUAUAUUAUCUAUUUAUCGCUUAUUUAUCUUUUAAUUUGAAAAACUAAAAUUUGAUCAAUUUUAUUAAAAUAGAUAUGUGCAUGAAAGAUUUUAAUUGCAAAAACUUUUGAUUUAAGAACUAGAUUGUUCUAGAUGACAAAACAAUUCUAGUAAAGACUAAAAUAUCAUAAAAAUAAAAAUACAAAGACUAAAACAAAUAAUUAAAAAAAUAUCAAUAAUAAUAAAAAAAUUAUUUGAACUUGUCUCGUAUGCAUCAAACAUAGAAUAAGAGCAUAUAUUAUAUAGUUCAAUUCAAUCCAAUAUUAAAUAUUGUUUAGUAUUUAUAUUGUCAUUUUCAAACCAUAAUACCUACCACAUUUUUAGUUUCAAUUUACAUACAAACUCAUCUAAUGAUAUUUUUAUUGUUAAAAAAAAUAUCAUAAUUUGGAAUUCCAAAAAAAUAUUCUAUUGGAAAAAUGUUGUACUAAAAUUAAAAACAAAAGUGGAAAUAUACUUGUAUAUUAUAAAUUAAUGGAAAUACAUCAAAUUACUGAUAAUGUCAAAAUGUUGCAUGGCACUUUAAUCACAUGUCUCCUCCUCCUCCUCCUCAAAAAAAAAAAAAAGUGGAAAUAUACUUGUAUAUUAUAAAUUAAUGGAAAUACAUCAAAUUACUGGUAAUGUCAAAAUGUUGCAUGGCACUUUAAUCACAUGUCUCCUCCUCCUCCAAUGAGGCCGACUCUAAUAUUAAAUGUCACAGCCCGAUCAUACCAAAAAGUUUGUAUGCUAGUGCUAUGCUGUGGAGAUCAAAAAACCUUUAAAUGUAAAACAAAAUAUCCAAGUCUAAGGGAACUCCUUAGCAUUAUUAUUAAACUAGAAAAUUCAGUCGUUUUGAAAUUUUCUCCAUCAAGAUAAUUUUUCUUAUUAAUAUAUUUCUUGUUUAUCUAUCUUGGUGAAUGCAAGCUUUUUUUCUUUACUAGAAUCAUUGUUUCUAUUAAAAGAAUAUUCUAUAAUUGUCACAACAAAUUAAAAAAAAAUCAAAAUAGUAUGUUUAUAUUUUUAUGUGAUUGAAAGUUAAAAAAAUAAUAAAUAUAAUAAAAUCAUACUCAAAAUAUAUUAAAAAAUUCUAUGAUUAAAAUAGUGAUUUAAAUUGAACUUUCAUUAACAAAUUUGUAUGUCAUAUAUAUAAUAAUUGAAAACAAUUAGUGUAGAUUAGUUGAGUCUGUUGCAGUGAAUACUUUUUUAACUGCUACUGCUACUGCCGCUUUGAACAAGAUUUUGAGGAAAUGCAGAAGUGCAUUAGGUAACUUGGUGCCCAUAGAUGAUGAUGAUGAGAUGUGGUCCGAAUAAACACUUCCAUUACUAGUUGUUGGUGUUUCACUAUGAAUGGAAGCUGCAGCUGCAAAUUGUUUCACAGGCAUUGUUGAAACAGAGGAGUCUGUUAAACAGAGGAGAACACAAUUGACUGCCCAACAGUUAAUGGGGUCUGUCCUCCAACCAUAUCGGCCUUCCUCUCUCCUUCCAUAUUUGAAGUGUCAUUUCCUCCAUUUUUCCCUUCUUCAGGCACACCGUAAUUCGUCUGCUGUGUUGCUUGGGCCGCAGUGAUGAAGUGAUAGCCAUGACUUGAUGCCUCUGGAGGGGCUUUGGAGAAGAGCAUGAUUCUGUACCAGCAAUCAAACAUCAAGACCUGAGAAAGUUGUGGGAUUCAAAUCUGGUAAGCACCAUUCUGUACCAACAUGUUCAGGGAUUGGAAUCUCGUACGCACCAUUCUGCAAAAUUGCCAGGGAAGUUUGGGGUAGUUGAAGCUCAUUGUUGUAGCACCAGUUACUGCCGAUGUCGUGGCAUUUAUUGAAGCAGAACUUUAGCUACUUGAAGAAGCUACAUUGCUAGCAAAAGGGGAAGGCCUCACACUGGCUGGUUGGAUAGAAGCUUUUACUGCUGCAGUAGCUAUAGAGGAGACUUGAUCUUCAGGUAGACUAUAAAGUGUAGGAAAUUGAACUGCAAGACAAGAAUCUAUCAGCCAGACAUCAUUCCAUAAGCUAAUAUCUCUACCAUUGCCAACCAAACCACAAACUUCUUUCUUUGCAAAAUAUUUUGAAGUCCCUCGUCCUUAUAAAAAAGUAAUGACAUUCCUGGACCAUGUACUGCCCUUUAAAUUAACACAAACUAAAGGCAUGUUCAAAUAUGCUUUUUGGUUGUGGAUGUUGUAGAUAACAUCUUUUCAUAGUCUUGUAUGAGACCUCCCAAACCUCCAUAGCCAUUUGAAAAAUUAACAAGGCUUUAUUUUUAUCAAUAAUGUAUUCUAUACCCACCUUUUUUGUUUUUGUUUUUUUUUGGAGGAACCACUAAUGCCCAUUUAACAUUGCAUAGUUUCUCAAUUUUGGUAGCAACAGUGGAUGCGAUAGGAAAUAAAGAAAGAUUAUUUAUAAUUGAGUUAAUCAAGCAAUAGUUUUCCAAACGGAUGUAUGAGAUGAAGAUGCAUGAAUAGGCAGACCCAAAUACUUAAAUGGCAUCCCCUCCAUCCUACAUAUUAGAUUGCUAGCAGUUGAAGAAAUAACAACAUCAUCAAUUCUAGUUCUAGUGAUUGAGUGGAAAUUAACCUUCAGCUUAGAAAUCAACUCAAAACAUCACAUAGUUCUUUUGAUGUUUGAAGAGAUGGAAAAUCAUAUGAACUGAAGAUGAGAGUAUCAUCUACAAACUGAAAGUGAGUAGUUUUCAGUUGAUCAUGACCAAAACAAAUACCUUUUAUAAGUCCCAAAUCACAUCUCUUUUUAGCAUUCUACUAAGACCCUCAGUCGCUAUAUUGAAAAGAGAUGGUGAUAAUUUCUUCAUAGAAGGCCAGUAGGAAUCAUUGGUAGACUUGAUGAGCUCUUCCCUUAAUUACCCUGCAGAUCCUAUAACAACUCUCCCCUUAUACUUAACCACACCAUCAGCAUAUGUAAAGCUGGGAGAUUGUGCAGCAUCUACCAGUUUACUUCUCAUUGUAUCCUGCAACAUGACAUCAUCUUUAUAAGAGGCAUGAAUCUUGUCAUACCAGGAGGGAGUUAUUUGUCUUUUGGCGGUGAACCUUCCCCCUUCCAUUUGAUUCCCUUGACAACCUUCUUGCCCCUGCAUAUUCCUCUUAUAUAAGGCAUCUGCAACCUUAUUCUCCUUCCCUUUUCUGUACCUGAUCCGAUGGUUCAACCCCAACAACUUAGUUAGCCCCUUCUUUUGAAUAGGAGUAUGAAUCUUCUAAUCAAGUAGAUACGUCAGACUUUCAUGAUUAGUUUGAAUGACAAACUGAUCUUGUUCCAAAUAAUGCCUCCACUUGUCGACUGCCAUUAGAAUAGCAAGGUAUUCCUUCUCGUAAAUGGAUAACCCCAAAUGUUUGACUCCCAAGGCCUUGCUCAAAAAUGCUAAUGGUCUUCCUUCCUGGCUGAGUACUGCUCCAAUUCUAGUAUCACAAGCGUGUGUUUCCAGCACAAACGGUUUGGUAAAGUCAGGCAGGGCCAGAAUUGAAGCCUCACACAAUGCUUGUUUCAGGUUGCGGAAAGCCUUCAGUGCUCCUUCAUGCCAAAGGAAGUUAUUCUUCUUGAGCAUCUCUGUCAAAGGCUAGCUGAUAAUACCAAAUUUCCUAAUGAAUUUUUUAUAAUAACCAGCUAGGCCAAGGAAUCCCCAUAGCUACUUAAUGGAUUUUGGAACUAGCCACUCCUGUACUGCUUGUGUCUUCUUAGGAUCAGUGGCUACCCGGCCCCUUCAGUUGAAAUUAUAUGCCCCAAAUACUCCACCUGUGGCUCUACAAAUGUGCACUUGGAUCUCUUCACAUAUAGUUGGUUAGUUUUAAGCAUUUCCAAGACUUGCUUCAAAUGAUUAAAAAAAUACUAAGACAAAUUUUCUCAAAAAUAGCUCUAGGAUAUCAUUCAUCAAGGCUUGGAAGGUUGCAGGAGCAUUCAUGAGAUCAAAAGGCAUUACCUAGAAUUCAUAGUGCCCUUGAUGAGUGCAAAAUGCUAUCUUCUCUAUAUCUCCCCUUCACGCAUAUGAACUUGAUGGUAUCCUGACCUUAGAUCCAGUUUUGAAAAGAUGAUGGAUCCUUGUAUCUCAUCUAAUAAGUCGUCAAUCAGAAGAAUGAGAAAACUUGUUCUUAAUAGUGACUUCAUUUAGCUGUCAAAAGUUUACAUAAAAACACCAUGUGUUGUCCUUCUUCUUCACCAAAAAAACAAUAAAGGCAAAGGGACUAACACUUGGUUGUAUUAUGUUGUUGUGUAGCAUCUCCUUGACCAUCCUUUCGAUCUCCUCCUUUUAAAAGAAAGAGCUCUUAUAUAGUCUACACUUGACUUGACUUGACUUGGAAAUAAUAAUAAUAAUAAUAAAAUAAAUAAAUAAAUAAUAUAUGUUGUAGUGAGAAAAGCUAUCAGACCGCCCAAAAUGGCCAAAAAUUGGUCGAGGAGGUUAAAAAAUGCAAAGAUUGAAAUUUGAUAGUAUAUCGUUGACUGACGAGAGUCUGUUAACAAAGAAAAUUUAAUUUUUAAAAAAUAUAUCAAAAUCAGAUGUUUAUGGACUCAAUUAAAUUUUAUUGAGGGUUUAAUUGAAUUUAUGGAGGGUUUGAUUGAAAUAAAAACUGAAUUUUAUGUCGAUUUAGGCUUUUAUUGGAAGAAAUUAAAGUUAAAGGGUCCAAUUAUAAUUUUGAAGAGUUGAUUUGGUCAAAUCAGGGGUUUAAUUGCAUAAUUAUUAAAUUUUUAUGGGCAAUUAGGGACUUGAUUGAAAAAAUACAAAACCAAGGACCAAACCGGAAAAUGAGCGUAAAUAGAGAGGUUGCAAUUAACCAAGUCAGGGGCUAAAUUGAAAAAAUUAAAAUUUUAUUGAUCAAUUGAGGGUCAAAUCGCAUGAAUCCAUAACCAAAGAGGCUAAAAUCCAGGGAUCCAAUUACAAUUUAUUCGGGGGCUUGAUUACAAAAUUGCAAAACAUCUGAUGACCAAAUCGGAAAUAUUCAUUUUGAAUUUUAAAAUGGUACCGUUUCCUUGACAAUUGUUCAUUACCUUACUUCAUCAACAACGGUUUCUACAGUAAAAGGCAGUGAAGACGUUAGCGGUGGAGCUGCUUCAAUCAGGGGAGCACGUCUCACGGCUGAUAUCCCUCUCCACCAUGAUGCACUUCGGCCGUUACAACCUUCCUGCAAUAAAUCCCGAAAAGCAUGCAUCCUUUGGCUAUAAAAAGCCAGAGGAGAGACGGACAUAAAAAAAAAAAAAAGAGGAGGAGACAGGGAGGGGGAGCGAGCAGGACAAGAGAGAAAGUGGGGAGCAACACGAGAGGGAGAUAGAAACGAGUAGAAGGAAAGAAUGUAUGCAGAGGAAAACGUUGAGACCAGAACCAGCGUUGCCAUUGUCUUCGUCAUUUCAAAAACCAGAGACAAAGAAGAAGAAGAGUGCAAAUAAGAAUUAAAUGAAAGGAGAAUCAGAAACGAAACUAGUAGCAGAAGAAAAGAAAGAAACGUUGCUCGAUUAGAGCACUGAUCACCCUCAACUGCAUCUUCAUCUGCAGGCAGCAGCUCCAGGGGACGUUUGAGAGGACUAGAGAGGGAGAAAAAGAAUAAAACAGGGAACAAGAGGAAGAACAGAGCAGAAGAGAAAAAAAGCAGAAGGGAAACGCAGAGAAAGAAAGAAGAACCACCAGCCAGUUAGCACCACGAUCCGCAACCGCAACACCGUCCACCGCCACCGGCAGCACUGCUAGGCCGCAGGUCUGCUUCUUCCUCCUAUUCUUCUUCAUCUUCUCCAGGCCGCUCCACUGUUCACAUUGCAUGGGAACAGUGGAGUCUCUCCGCUGUUUGUUUUAGUUUUCUGGGUUGGACAGCAUUAGCCAAGCCCAAAAUAAUUGGUCGGGUCCGGCCCAAUAAAAAAAAACAAUUCUUUAAAAAAAAUCAUAGCUUUUUAUAGCCCCAAGCGUACGUCCUCAUCUCGUGGGAAAAAUUGCAUGAUGACAAUGGUAUCAUUAACCCAUCUCUGAUGGAUAAUUUGUUGCAAUGUCCAUCUCCAUCAAAAUCCUUUUUGUUUUGAAAAGGAUUAUAUAUACAUACACACACUCAAUGAUCACUUAAUAUUUUAUAUUAUUUUUCAAGUUUUGAGAUAUAAGUUCAUAGCUUUUAAAGACAAAAAAUAUACCACAAGAUUUUAAACGAUUUCAUAUUUCAUUAAAAUAAAUAAAUAAAUUACUUAAAUGGUUACAAUAUUUUUUUUUUAAGAAAAUAAAUUGAUUUAUUGUGUUAAUAACAUUUAAGGAUUUCUUCCAAAUAAAUAAUCAAAUUUAUUUUAAUUAAAAAGUUUCUAAUCAAUAACAACAUUCUAUAUUAAACCAAAGUAUUUCCACGAACGCAUCUCUUGAAAAAAAUGCAUGAUAGCAACGGUCUCAGGACCAAUAUGUAGAUGAAAUUGGUCUCAUGAGCUCAUAAAUGCUUACGGGGCAAUGGUCUUAGAAACCAUCUCACUAGAGUGGAAAAAAUGCAGAAGACAAAAGUUUCAUAGACCCAUCUCACACUAUAAAUUCUCAUUCAUUUUACUUGUUGGUUGUGUUAUAAAAAUUAAACUCUCUAGAAAGAAAAAGAAGAAGACUUUUUGUAAUGACAAUGACAAGUAUUUUAGAAAUAAUUCAAUAUAUAAAAAGACACUGACAUUUGGUAUCAAAUUAUGAAAAUAUCAUUGGUAAUUUCGCAAAGUUUUUAUAACUUUGAUUGCCUUAGAAUUUUAAUUUGUGAUAUAAAUAGAUGUUAUAAGAGUUCUCAUAAAAUUGAGAAAUAUAAUUGAUAAUAUAAAAUUAAAAAUAAAAUAUUAUUUGAUGAUAAUAAAAUGACUGGAAUACUAGUGAGAAUUUAGGUGAAAUUCAUAAAACAAAUAUAAGAUUUCGAAGAUGAAAUAUCUUCUAAUUUAUUCUAUUUUUUAAAUUGAAAUAAAAUGUACCUGUCAUACGCCCCAUCUCGUGGAAAAAAACAAUAGCUUUUACAGCCCAAAGCAUACGGCUCCAUCUCGUGGAAAAAAUUGAAUGAUGACAAUGGUAUCACGUGGAUAAUUUGUUGCAAUGUCCUCUCCAUCAAAAUCCUUUGAAAAGUUAUAUAUAUAUAUAUAUAUAUUAUAUCAUGACCGUGUUCGAAAAAUCACAUGAGAAUCGCACAGUUUCGUUGAUUAAUCAAACAAUUAAUUAAUAAAUAAAUAAUAAAAUGGUAAGACCAAGACUUGUGACUAUGACUGGCAAUGACAGGUUUGGCCCUGCACAUGACAGGAUAAAUUAAAUUAAUAAAAAGCUUGUUGACCAGUAAUCACUCUUUGACAAAACUCGAAAUUAACAAAUCAAAUGCGAACACACCACUCAAAAUGGCAAUGACAUUUGCCCUUUUCUAUGCGCACUACCAUUUACAUGUCUUAUUUUUUUAUUAAUAUUUAUUUUAUUUAAAAGAAUUAGUUUUAAAAAUCUUAGUGUAUUAUACAAGUGCAUUUAUUUUGAUGUUUCUCACACGUAUAUUAUAUAUUCAAUUGUUUAAUAGUUAAAAAAUACAAAGAGUUAGUGACACUUGCACAAAGUAUUUGUAUCUUGUUUUUUCUAAUUAAAAACUUGUAUUGAUUUAUUUAUUUUUUGUAAUACCUGCUCUUAUGAAUUUUUAUCAAUCAAGUCUUUAUAUUAGUUUUGUUGCCAGAAUGCAAAUAACACGAUUAAUAGUAUUUUAUUUUUGAUUUUUUUCAAGGCCUAAAUUUUUCACAUGUAAUUUCUAUAAAAAAAAGUAGCAAGUUUUCUAUAUCUAUCAUCCUUAUGUGCCUAACAUUAACCUUUUCAUCAUGUAUUUUUCCAAAUUAUAAAUAAAUAAAAAUAAACUUGAAUUGGGGUCAACAUUUUAAGAAGGAAUAUAAGUUUCGGUUAAUUACUUAAUUUUAUGCAAUUCAUUUUUUUUAAUAUAAUAAGUUUUAAUAUAUAUUUUGAAUUUAAUAUUAAUAGUUAUAAAGUUUAAUUAGUUAAUAAAAAAUGUUCCACUUUUGUUCUCUCUUUAUCACCUUUUCUUUUAAAGGGGUUACGUACAGCCUUGCAUAUUAUUUUAAAGUUUAUUUAUUUUGAAUUUAAUAUAUAAAAAUCUUUUGUAUAGAUGAAUUUUAUUUUUGAAAAUAAAAAAAAUUAUUUUCAAAUAAUAUUUCUAAUAUGUGCAGCCUUACAUAUUAUUUUAAAGUUUAUUUAUUUUGAAUUUAAUAUAUAAAAAUCUUUUGUAUAGAUGAAUUUUAUUUUUGAAAAUAAAAAAAAUUAUUUUCAAAUAAUAUUUCUAAUAUGUGCAGCCUUAUAUAUUAUUAUUUUUCUCUUUUUAUUUUAUUCAAUCAAUUUAUAAUUUGUAUAUGUUUUUAUUAUCGUUUGAUCGAAUAAAAAAAUUAUUUUAUUUGAAUUUUUAAAAAAUACAAUUAUGUAAAUAUCAUGUCUUGUAAAAUUUAACUUGCGAUGAAGUUGUGAUCAAAUAUUUAAGUCUGUGUGCUAAAAUGAGUGGUACUCAAGAUUCACAUACCUUAUCUUCCAAGCAAGAAGAGACAAGAAAAGCAGUAAAUGAUGUUCUUUUCUCCAGCUGUAAAUAAAUAAAAAGAUUAAUACCAAAAACAUAGACAAAAAUUAAUGUGGAUCCACACCACUUUGAUUAUUCUUCACUUUCUUUGCUUUUCCUGUAUUUCACUACUUGAUGAUUCAAAAGUUAUCUAUUUAAAAAAAUUAUUUUUUAAAAAUAUUUUUAAAAUAAAAAAAUAAACAAAUAUUAUUAUGUCAUGCAACUAAAUUUAUUUUGACAUUAUUCACACGAGAAUUAUAUAUUCAAUUUGUUAAGUGUUAGCAAUGCAAAAGAGACAAUGACAAGUACAAAUUAUAUUUAUUUUAUAAAUUUUUAAUUUAAAAGCUUGUAUCAAUGUCUUUUUUUUAAAAAAUUGAAUACUUGUAUUCAUGAAAUUUAAAUAACAAAAUAUCUUUAUUAGUUUUAUUAUUAGAAGAUGAUGUCAUAGUUAAUUUCUUUUAGAUUACUCUGGAUUGAUUUUAUUUUAUUUUUAAUUCAUAAACAAUAAAGAUAUGUAAAAUGCUUAUAAUUUAUAUAUAUAUUUUUUAUUUAAGUACUCUAAUUGAUUUUAUUUUUCUAUUUAAUUACUUGAUAAACUAGUGUCUGUAUAUAAAUAUGUUUAAAUUAAUUUCUCUAAUAAAAGUAUAUAAAACAAAUUCAAUAAAACUAUAUUUUUAUUAAUAGAUUUGAACUUAAAACAACCAUAUAUUUUCAAGUAACCAAGAGACGGACAUCCUUUCAAGAAAAUCAUUAUUACUAACACCAUUAACAUUUGAAUUAAUAGCCCCAUCUUAAUAUAAAUGUUGAUUAAUCAUUACUUAAUUGCUACUAGUAUAAGUAACUAUCCCUUGCAAUGGCAGCGAAGACUUUCAGGCUUCUACCAUGCAAAGUUUUCAAUUCCGUUUUAAUUGAUGUUUUAUUUUUUUUAAUUGUAACAAUAUGUUUUGAUUUUUGAGUAUUUUGAUAUGUCAUUUUGGGUUGUUCUAUAUAUAUAUAAUUCAAAAUAUUAAUUUAACAAAUAUAAUUUCAAUUUAAAUUUAAAGAUAAACUAACUUGAAAUUAUGUAAUUGAAAUUUCAAAUAUAAGCAAAAGAAUAAGUGCUUAAUUGAUAUGACUUGAUCAAUUUGAUGAAUCCAAAAGUAGUUUAGAUGACUGGUAAAAAUAUAAUUUUACUUAAAAAAAAUUCAAGAUGAUAUAUUUUUUUAAAAAAUUAUUGAGACAACAACAUAUUGGGAUCGACCCGGGUCAAUUUGAGUUAACCUUUUAAAUCCAUGACCCAGGUUAUGAGACCAUAAUAACCCCAAAUAAAAUAAAUCAAAACAAAUUAUGAAUCUUAAUUUUCAAUGAACGUAUUGUUGAAUUAUGAAAUUGAAAAAAAAUCAAUCUAAAAAAAGAUAUAAAAAAUGACAUUUCGAAACAAAAUUAUAAAUUUGAAUAAAAUUAUGAAAAUAUCAUCGGCAAUCUUGCAAAGUCUUUCUAAACUGUGAUUGCCUUAAAAGUUUAACUUGCGAUAUAAAUAUAUGUUAGGAGUUUCCUCAUAAAAUUUUAGUCUAAUUCAACAGUCGUAUUGAGAGAUAUAAUUGAUACUGUAAAAAUAGAUUAUAUUUUUUUUUAUAAAAGCAAAACAAAAUAUUAUUUGAUCAUAAUAAAAUGGUUAGAAUAUAACUAAAAUAUUUUUGUCAGAAUUUUGGUGAAAUUCAUAAAACAAAAUAAGAUUUUGAGCAUGAAAUAUCUUUUAAUUUAUUAUAUUUUUUAAAUUAAAACUAUAGCUUUUAGAGCCCCAAGCAUUCGGCCCCAUCUCUUGGAAAAAAUUGAAUGAUGACAAUGGUAUCACGUGGAUAAUUUGUUGCAAUGUCCUCUCCAUCAAAAUCCUUUUUGUGUUGAAAAGUUGUAUAUAUAUAUCAUUCAUGGCCGUCUUCAAGAAAUCACAUGAGAAACGCACAGUUUCGUUGAUUAAUCAAACAAUUAAUUAAUAAAUAAAUAGUAAAAUGGUAAGACCAAGACUUGUGACUAUGACUGGCAAUGACAGGUUUGGCCCUUCGCAUGACAGGAUAAAUUAAAUUAAUAAAAAGCUUGUUGACCAGUAAUCAUUUUUCACAAAACUCGAAAUUAACAAAUCAAAUGCGAACACACCACUCAAACUGGCAAUGACAUUUUCCCUUUUCUAUGUGCACUGCCAAACAGUCCCUUUACAUGUCAUUUUCACCAUCCCUCUCUUUUCCACGUGCUUUUCAGGAUUCAAAAUACGUGUUUAGGAAUAUUGAUGAAAAAUUAAAUAUAACCAGAAAACAAAUACAGGAAAGCAUUCCCAAUUAAACCAAGUAUUUCCACGAACCCAUCUCGUGGUGGGAAAAGGAUGUCUCACAGCCUCUCCUCGAGAAAAAAAUGCAUAAUGGCAAAGGUCUCGACGACCAAUGUACAGAUGGAAAUGUUCUCAUGGACCCAUCCUGUAGAAAAAAUGCUUGAUAGGACCAUCCCAUUGCCUUUAUCAUGGAAAAAAUGCAUGAUGGCAAAGGUCUCUCAGGACCCAUGUGCAGAUGGAAAUGUUUUCAUGGACCCAUCUAGUAGAAAAAUUGCUUGAUAGGACCACCCCACUAAAAAAUGUAGAUAGGAAUAUAUAAUCUUACAUACUCAUCUCACACUGUAAAUUUAUAUCUAUCUUACUUGUUGAUUGUGUAAUAAAAAAUAAAGUCUUUAGAAAAAAAAAAAAAGAGAAGACUUAUUGUCUUGACAAUGACAAGAAGUCUUUUAAAAAUAAUAUUAUUUGUAUUUUAUUUUAUUAAUGAUAGUGGUUUGAUUUUGCCAUCGCUAUCGAAAUUAAGGCAUGAUUUUUCACACGUUAUUUUCAUAAAGAAAGUAGCAAGUCUUCUAUGACCGGCAUUGUCAUGCAAAGUGAGCUGUCUAUCGUUAACCUUUGAUUUAUAUAUUUUUUUAAAAAAAUUGACAUGGGUUCAACUUUAUAAGAAGGAAUACAAGUUUUUGGUUAAUUACUUUUAUGUAAUUCAAUUUUUUUUUUUCUACAAUGUGGUUUUAAUUAGUGUUGUUAAAUUUAAUUCAAGCCUAACAUUUUAAUUUGGAAUCUAACCUGAUUUAGGUUUAGAAAAAACUAAGUGAGAGUUCACCAAAUAAAGCCUAAUCGACUAGAUAAAUCAACUCACAACCUAGUCAACUCAGUCAAAAACUAAUUUUAUUUUUUUUAACUACUCGAUUUUGAUUUUUCUAAAAAAAAUCUUAAAAUGAUACAAUAUUUUAUUAACAUCAGUCAAUAAGCUAACUUGUUCGAUUUAUAACUCAAAUCUUGAUCCAAGUAUUAAGCCAAUUUAUGACCUAAACCCUCAUCUAGGUAUUAAAUCUAACCAUGUUUAAUAACUUUGGUUUCUUAAGAAAAAUAUCAUGUAUAAAACAACUUUUAAAGAUUUUAGGUAAAAAUAAUGAUUUUAAGUUAUGAUUUGUUUAAAUGAUGAAUUUGAGUUAUAAAUCUUGAUAUAUCAAUAGGUGAUCUAUGAAAAAUUAGGGUUUUGAAAUUGAAAAUGAUAAAAUUCAGUUUGGUCUUUUAAUUUAUAAAAAUUUAAGUUAAUUCCAAAACUUUGAAAAAAUUUCAGAUUGUUCCCAUGCUUGACAAUAAAUGCCAUAGCUUCUGGUGUUGCCUUUGACGCUGCCAUUAUAAGGCCUUAGCAUAUCAGCUAGACCCAGAAUAUUAAAUAACAAAUCAAGAGGGUGAGCCUUUCCUUGACGAAUAUCCUCAAUGGCCUUUGGGAUCGAAGCAAAUCCUGUGGCCACAAUUUAUUGUUAGUACGUGUUUGCAAUUUGCAACAUAUAUUUUGAGUAAUGCGCUGUUUUUGUUUCUAGCUUUAGGUGAUUGCACCAAAGAUAGACUGAACAAAAGGGACAUACAUAAAGAUUUAUAAUUAUUCCGUGUUUAUUAUUAUUGAUAAUAUAUAUAUAUAUAUAUAUAUAUAUAUAUAUAUAUAUAUAUAUAUAUAUAUAUAUGAUAGUGAGAUGAGUAAAUGAUUCUAAAUUAUGACAGAAGUACAAUUAUAAAGUUAAAAAAAUCUUAAUGUAACAAUGCUAAAGUAUUACAACAAUUAUUUUAUUUUAUUUUAUUUAUAUAAAUUGGAUAAUUAAUAACCAAAAUAUAAUUUAAUGUAAAUAAACUAAGUGCUAAACAAUAAAUUAAAAUAAUAUUCAAAUCCUAAAAUAUUUCAAAAAGAAAUAAAAUAAUGUUCAAAUCUCAAAACAUGAAAUCCUAAAUUAUGAUGAGAGAAGUAUAAUUAUAAAGUCAAAAAGAUCUUACGCGGAAUCACACACGAAUAUCGAUAACAAUGAUGAAGUACUACAACAAUUUAUUUUAUUUUAUUUUAUUUAUAUAAAUUGGAUAAUUAAUAGCCAAAAUAUAAUUUAAUGUAAAUAGACUAAGUGCUAAACAAUAAAUUAAAAUAAUAUUCAAAUCCUAAAAUAUUGCAAAAAAAAUAAAAUAAUAUUCAAAUCUCAAAACAUAGAACCCUAAAUUAUUACGAGAAAAGUAUAAUUAUAAAGUCAUGAAAACAAUCUUACCAAUAUCUACAAUAUUUUUAUUUAUUUUAUUUUUUUAUAAAUUGAAUAAUUAGUAACCAAAAUAUAAUUAAAUACAAAUAGACUAAAGGCGGAACUGAACAAUAAAAUAAAGGCCGAACUGCACAAGAUAAUAUUCAAAUCUAUAUUAUCGACAAACACACCAUAAAGGCCGAAGUGUCAGACUUUGGCACUUCUAGGUUAAUUCCGUUGGAUCAUGUUUAAUUGUCAACAAUGGUGCGAGGUACUCUAGGAUACUUAGACCUGAGUACUUGCACACAAGCCAACUGACGGACAAAAGUGAUGUUUACAGUUUUGGAGUGGUUCUUGUUCAACCACUAACUGGGAUGAAGGCAAUUUCCUUCGAUAAGCCUGAGGGCCUUUAAGUGCAAAAUAAUAAAAUAAAAUAAUAUUCAAAUCCAAGAAUAUUCCAAAAAAAUAAAAAUAUUCAAAUCUCCAAACAUGUAACCUGCACCCAAGAUAUGCAGAAAAAGUCAAGGAAAUUAAAUGGCCAAAGUGUAGUAUAAAUAGGACCUCUAUGGUUGCCCAAAUGCACAUAACAAACAACAAUAUUCUACGUAGUAGUUCAUAGAAUUAUCUAAGAUGAUGAUGAAAGGAAUUGGGCCUUGGAUGUUGCUAGCGUUAUUGGCUGUGGUUGGCCAGUAAUGCUAUAAAGAAGAGAGUGGUAUAUCCACUUUCUCAUCAAUUACUUGAGAUUUAUGGAAGAUAUGAUACAAGAGAUAAGAAAAUGACUGCUAUCAUCGACAAUUUCUCUGUUAUAUAUAUAUAUAUAUUUAUAUAUAUAUAUUACGCGUAGUUUCAUGAAUCCUUUCCAUUAGAUAAUCAAUAAUAUUGUAUAUAUUCUUUUUGGAGAAGUAACUCAUUUUCACACCCUUGUUGUAGUUUUCCAUUCAUUUUCACCCUGCUUUUCUUUCCAUUCACGCACACAGAUAGUGCAUAAAAGCACUACGACAAUAGCUGACUCCCAGUCAAUACGGCGGACGCAAAUUGUUUGGUGAGGUUGCAUUCCAACAAAACUAAUUUGAAUAUUUUUCCCAACCUGGCACUUCUAGGUUAAUUCCGUUGGAUCAUGUUUAAUUGUCAACAAUGGUGCGAGGUACUCUAGGAUACUUAGACCUGAGUACUUGCACACAAGCCAACUGACGGACAAAAGUGAUGUUUACAGUUUGGGAGUGGUUCUUGUGGAACUACUAACUGGGAUGAAGGCUAUUUCCUUCGAUAAGCCUGAGGGCUUUAAGUGCUAAAUAAUAAAAUAAAUAAUAUUCAAAUCCAAGAAUAUUCCAAAAAAAAUAAAAUUCAAAUCCAAGAAUAUUCUAAAAAGAAAUAAAAUAAUAUUCAAAUCUCCAAACAUGUAACCUGCACAAGAUAUGCAGAUAAAGUCAAGGAAAUUAAAUGGCCAAAGUGUAGUAUAAAUAGGACCUCUAUGGUUGCCCAGAGGCACAUAACAAACAACAAUAUUCUACGUAGUAGUUCAUAGAAUUUUCUAAGAUGAUGAUGAAAAGAAUGGGGCUUUAAUGUUGCUAGCAUUAUUGACUCUGGUUGGCGAAUGGUAUGGUCGUUGUUAUGGAUGUUUGGAGGAAGAGAGGAUUGGUCUCUUGGAGAUCCAAUCUUUGAUCGACCCAUAUGGCCUUUACUUGAGAGAUUGGGUGGACAACAAUAGUAAUUGUUGUGAGUGGCAGGAGAUCGAGUGUGAUCCGACUACGAGUGUGUUUGGCAGUGUGGUGGCGGUUGCUUUUCAAAUAACUUUUCAUGUCGAAAUGCAUACCAAUGAUAUUUUUUUAUUUUUUAAAAAUUAUUUUUGAUAUCAACAUAUCAAAACGAUCUAAAAAGUACAAAUCACAUUAAAUUUUAAUAAAAAAAAAUUUCAAAUUUGGUGGGAACGCGGUUUGCACCGCGUUCCCAAACACUUCAGGCGAGUGAUCCAACUCUCUCUUGCAAGGGAUAAGAGCUUGGGCGAUUGGGUUCUCAACGCAUCUUUGUUUCAGCCUUUUAAAGAAUUGCAAAGUCUUUAUUUGAAUUGGGCUGGAUUGGUUGGUUGCAUUGAGAAUGAAGGUUAGUUCAAUUAUAAUCAUAAAAUAAAUGAAGGUUGGUUGGUGUUUAAUGUCAAUUAUCUUGCUUUGAUGAUUCUCUUCCCAGACUUUGAAGUCCUCCUAUCAUCAAAACUGAGGAAUCUUGACCUAAGUGAAAACCAAUUUAAUAAUGACAAAAGCAUUUUGUCAUGUUUCAAUGGUAACCUUUCCACUCUCGAGUCUUUGGAUCUAUCAGCCAAUGGGUUGAUAGCUAGAUCAGGAGGUAGCUUCUAUGGUAGCCUUUUAAUUAUUUAGCUUCGAAACCUUUUCAUUUUUUUUCUAUGCGUUUAAUUAUUUCCUUCCAAUAUGCUCUUGAGGAACAUCAUGCAGGUCUCAAAGUCUUGUCAUCAAGGUUGAAAAAGCUGGAGAACCUUCAUCUAAGUUAUAAUCAAUACAACGAUAGCAUUUUCCAUCUCUAACUGGAUUUUCAUCCCUCAAGUCUUUGGAUCGGGAUUCAUAUUUAUGUUUAUAUAUAAAACACAAUGUUGUUUUGACACACACACACAUAAAUUUAAGGUUAAUCCAAAUUGAUCUGGACAUGAUAAAAAUCAUGAUACAAAUCUUAUCCCAGGUUAGCCCUCGAGCCGGGCUAACGAGGAUUGGUUGGAAAAAGAUUAUGGAAGACCACUACUAUGCAUAAGGAAAUCACCAGGAAAUUACUCAUCUUGGCCAAUAGUGCUAUAAAGAAGAGAGAGUCGUAUAUCCACUUUCUCAUCAAUUACGACAAUAAUUGACUCCCAGUCAAUACGGUCCACGCAAAUUGUUUGGUGAGGUUACAUGCCAACAAAACUAAUUUGAAUAUUUUUAAUGUGGGUAAAACUUUUAAAUGUUAUAGUGAGGUAAUGUUAUGUUUUCUUUAUUUUGAGAUAAAAAAAACAUUAUAUUUAGAAAGGUUUCGAAUUAAUUAAAUAGGUUAUGAAAAUAUAAUUGCUUAGUGGUAUAGAUAAUAAAAAUAUGAUUGAUUAGUGGUUGUUUAAUGGUAUAGAAGUAUCAAGUUAAAAAUUAGAAAAAUAAAGUUAGAAGUUGUUAGUUUAUGUAUUUUACAGGUGCUGCUGUUUGAUCCAAAAAAUGAUUUGAAUAGAUACAGUUUUUUACCCAAAUUUUAUACAUAGGAAAAGCUUGUUCUCUCUGGUUUUUAAUACCAUAAACGGUGCAUUAAUCCAGUUUUUAUAGAAUAGCUAUGAUGAAAAUAAUAAAGAAUACGUGGACUAUCGAAUGAUUUCGGGGAUUAUUAUAAAUUAUAUAAAAGGAAUUGCUAUCUGAAUUAUAUAUAUGAAUGAAAAGGUAAUGAGACUAGUUUACAACCCAAAAAGCAUAAUAGAAUUCUGAAUGUUCUAGGAGCUAUGAUUAGUUUAUUAGGUAGCAUGUAGUUAACAAAUUAUUGUAGUUAAGUGUUGAAGGGAUUUUAACAGGUUAUAUGCUUGUGAAUAGGUUUUUUGAGCUAAGAUUUCAGACCAGGCAAAGUAUAGAGAAGUUAGUAGCAGUGAGCAAGAACCCUGAACUUACAAACCACACCAAUAUAAAAAAUGUGAGGAAUCAUUAGCAAAAAAUAAAAACAAAUAAUGACAUAAGCAAGUGUCGGGCAAGUAAUAUACAACAUCAAGAUACAUAGACAUCAAAUAGUAAUUUUCUUGAACCGGAAGAACCCUUCAUUUAUGGGUAUGUUCCAAGAUAGAUAAGUGAAUUAGUUGCAAAACAGGGGAGUCUCUGUGAAAACAUUACAAUAGCAUUUACUCUGAGCAAGAACGCUUCUAUGCAUGUGUUGUAAUUGACAAAGAAAAGGAGAAAUCCUUUCAAUUUAUGAAAAUGCAAUGAGUUAACCUUAUCUCACACUGCAAUAUAUACUCUACAGUAUUCAUGUAUGAAAACAUUUGAACGGGAAUAAAUAAAAUAAUUCAUCAAACAAUAUGAGAGUUGUUUGGAAAAAGAUUCUGGAAGAGCACCAAUAUGCACAAGGAAAUCACCAGGAAAUUACUGCAUGGUUGUUUUAAAAAUCAAAAGGGCACAUAGCAAGUCUAGCAUCCGCGUUCACAACCUUUUAAUGCUUUAACUCAUCUUCGCCAGUAGUGCUAUAAAGAAGAGAAAGUGAUAUAUCCACCUCUUUCUUUCUUUCUUUUUUCUUUUAUAAAAAAAAUCCCUUUUAUGCUUAAAAUCCACCCACUAAGAGCUUGUUUGAUAGUGUGGUUCAGGUUGCUUUUCAAAUAAUUUUUCGUGCUAAAAUACAUGUCAAUGAUAUUUUUUUAUUUUUUUAAAAUUAUUUUUGACAUCAGCACAUCAAAAUGAUUUGAAAACACUAAAAACAUAUUAAUUUGAAGUUAAUAAAAAAAUAAAAUAAAUUUAAAUUUUUUUAAAAACGCUUUUGAAACGCAGAAACAAACAGUCCCUAAGAGUUAUAUGUAUUGGAUUUUUAACAGUGCUAAGUUAAAAUAUCAAACUUAUGACCUUCAAGAUUAAAACGCGUUUGAAAAUGCGAUUAAAAAAUCUCCUAAGUUAAUAUCAAAUUUUUUAAAAAACGCUUUUAAAAUACAAAAACAAACAGUCCCUAAGGGUUAUAUGUAUUGGAUUUUUAAAAACGCUUUUGAAACGCAGAAACAAACACUCCCUGAGGGAUUUUAACAGGUUAUAUGCUUGCGAAAUGGUUUUUUGAACUAAGAUUUCAGACCAGGCAAAGUAUAGAGAAGUUAGUAGCAGCGAGCAGGAACCCUGAACUUACAAACCACGCCAGUAUAAAAAAUGUUAGUAUCAGAAAUGUGAGGAAUCAUUAGCAAAAGGUAAAAACAACUAAUGACAUAAGCAAGUGUCGGUCAAGUAAUAUACAGCAUCAAAAUACAUAGACAUCAAAUAGUAAUUUUCUUGGACUGGAAGAACCCUUCAUUUAUGGCUAUGCUCCAAGAUAUACAAGUGAAUUAGUUGCAAAACAGGGGAGUCUCUGUGAACACAUUACAAUAGCAUUUACUCUUAGUAAGAACACCUCCAUGCAUGUGCUGUAAUUGACAAACAAAAACAGAGAAAUCCUUUCAAUUUAUGAAAAUGCAAUGAGUUAACCUUAUCUCACACUGCAAUAUAUACUCUACAAUAUAUAUAUAUAUAUAUUAGGCGUAGUUUCAUGAAUCCUUUCCAUUAGAUAUUUAAUAAUUUAUAUAUUCUUUUUGGAGAAGUAACUCAUUUUCACACCCUUGUUGUAGUUUUCUAUUUAUUUUCACACCCCAGUUGCCACCUGCUUUUCUUUCCAAUCACGCACACAGAUAGUGCAGAAAAGCACUACGACAAUAGUUGACUCCCAGUCAAUACGGUCUACGCAAAUUGUUUAGUGAAGUCUUAAGUUGUUUGGUGAGGUUACAUGCCAACAAAACUAAUUUGAAUAUUUUUCCCAACCUGGCGAAUUGACCAAGUGCUAAACAAUAAAAUAAAAUAAUAUUCAAAUCAUCUGUAACAUUUACAGACUCUUAUGUAGAUAUCUUAUUGGUUGGGAUUUACAAUUUACACUUUCUAAUUUAUAAAACCAGGAGCAAAUCACAUAUAAUACAGUUCGUCAAAGGUUUCCCUGUCAAAAUGGAGUUCCUGGUGCGUUCUUGGACACAUGCAAGCACAUUGCAAAGGCUCCAGAAUUCACAAUUUCCUGAUGGAAUUUUAGUUUGUAGCAAUCGCCUUCUAUAGUUCGUAAAUAAAAUGACAAAAUUUGAGAGAAUUAGUUUUUCUAGAAAUUUAUAGGAUAUAAUUAAUAACUUGACUUUAAUUUAAAAGGAUUAAUGGAAAUCAUAAAAUUUCAACUAAUAUAUAUAUAUAUAGGAACUGCAUGGCCACAAAAAAAAAAAAAAAAAAAGAGUAAGCAUUUUCAAUAUUUUAGCUAACCAAUGCCGACUUGGAUCAUUGAUGAGUUGUUUAUAUUGGAUGUAAAUAUAUUUCAAACACUUAUCCACAUCCAAAUUAAGUUAAGGGUAUGUUUAUAAAAAUUAAAUUUUUUACGACCCCUCCUUAAUUUUCAAUUGAAAUCUUGAAGGAUAACACAAGAAUUAUAUUAUUAUAAGGUAAAACUAUAGAGAAAGUGAGGAAAAUAUUAGAGCAAAAGACGAUUUUCCAACCCACUAAUCAAUUCCUUGAAAGAGGAAGAUUCUCUAUUUCUUGAAAGGCUAAUUUUGCACUAUUGUUUUCUUGCGGAAUGCAUUCACACUACAUUUAAAAUUUAGGAAACCUAAAUCUAUGAUUUUUUUAAUAAAUUGAUUUUAUAGUUAUUUUUUUAUCAUCCCAUAUAUACCUUAAGUAAACCUUACUUUUAAUUAUUUCGAUAAAUAAAACAUUUAUUUUUAAUUUUAUUAUUAGUUUUUUUCUUGUUUUUUUAUGAUAAUUGAGGAAUAUAUAAUUAAUACCCAAAAAACACCCAAGUUUAAAUCACCAGCCAUUAAAAUUAAUCAAUCGGUGGUUGCAUUCUAACACACUAUAUUAAGAUUUAUUUUUUAUACAAGUUGAAAUUAAAGCACAUAUAUAUAUAUAUAUAUAUAUAUAUAUAUAUAUAUAUAUAUAUAUAUAUAUAUCAUCCCUUCUCAAGCUUGAGGGGAAAUGGUCUAACGGACCCAACUCGUAGGAAAAACGCUUGACAACAAUGGUCUAGUCAACCUUUUAUUCAUGUUUUUUCAUUGAAGACUUUGACUUGGAUCAACUUGUCGGUUAAUUACAUUUAUACAAUUUUUUUUUUACAAUGUUAGUAAAAUCACUUUAAUUAUUGUUUCAAUCUUCCGGUGUGAUUCAUUGCUUGGUGAUUCUAAAGUCGUCUAUUUAAACUUUAGCACAUUAUACAACUAAAUUUAUUCUUUCACUCGGUAUUUAUUAUAUAUUCAAUUUGUUAAUAAUUAGAAAUACAAAAGAGAAAAAGACAACUACAAAUAUAUUUAUAACCAGAAAAGUUAGUGAUUAAUAAAUUAUCUUUGCUAGUUUUGUUAUAAAUUUAAAAUAAAUAUCUUUUUACAAUAUUUUUUAAGUAAAAUUUGUACUUUUAAAAUAAAAAAUAUAUAAAAACAUGUUUUUUAUAUUCCCACUAUUUUGUAUUUUAUAUCAUGGUAAUUAAAUGUUGCCUGAUUAACAUAACACUAAAUCAUAAAAUAAAAAAAAAUUAAUUGUGGAAUGGUAUGGUAGUUGGAUCUAUUGUUAUUUUUUUUAUGUGUGUGAUUAAAUUAAUUAUUUCGAUAAAUGACAAAUGUAUUCGGGGACAAAUAUUGCUAGAGAGGCAUUGGAGCCUUUAAUAUUUUCCAAAGGCAUGGAACACGAUGCCAAGGGAAUGUAAGAUAUUCUCAUCAUUUCGAAGAAAAUUCUAUAUCAUGGAAAUUAAUGCAGAUGGCAGUAUAUAGUCCUAGGGACCAUCUCACAUAGCAAUUUUCUAUUCAUCUUAUUUAUUGAUUGUGUUAUAAAAAGUAGACUUUUUAAAAAGAAAAAGAAGAAGACUUAUUGUCAUGACAAUGACAAGAAGUAUUUUAGAAAUAAUAUCUCAUAUACAGUUUCCUAAAGGUCUGAGGAAUCGAACAAAGAGGGCGAUGAUUGGGCAUCAGUCUUGAAACCACAAUGAUCCAAUGGACGCGAGCCGCUAGUGGAGAAUGAUUCAUGCAUCUCUGGUUUUGUGUGUUUCUCAUGCUCUUUUUCACUGUACAACAGAACUUUUGACUUUUCAGUUUUUCCUCUUACGCUCUUCAAUAAAUGGGAAAGAGGAAACAACACGGAAAGAAAUUCAAUGCUCACACUUUGAAUUUUAAUUUGCAUGUUUCGGGUCAUUGACAGCUAUGCAUUAAAAUUACAGAGUAAAAUCUCAUUUAUCAAGAUGGUCUUAAUCACAGACAUAUCUAGAGAAAACUUGAUGGAUAGAUUAAUGUUAAAUAUGAAUUCUUUAUGGAGCUCAGUCACAGACAUAUCUAGAGAAGAUACAGAGUUAAGGAUAUGUUUAUAAAAAUUAAUUUUUUUAUGACCCUCCUUUUCAAUUGAAAUCUUGAAGGAUAUAACACAAGAAGUAUAUAUCAUUUUCUGACAAUAUUAGUGUAAGGUAAAACUAUAGACAAAGUGAAGAAAAUAUUAGAGCAAAAGACGACAUUUUUCCAGCCCACUAAUUAAUUCCUUCAAAGAGGAAGAUUCUCUAUUUCUUGAAAGGCUAAUUUUGCACUAUUUUUUUUCUUGCGGAACGCAUUCACACUGCAUUUAAAAUUUAGGAAAACUAAAUCUAUGAUUUUUUUUAAUAAAUUGAUCUUAUUGUUAUUUUUUUAUCGUCCCAUAUAUACCUUAAGUAAACCUUACUUUUAAUUAUUUCGAUGAAUAAAACAUUUAUUUUUAAUCUUAUUAUUAGUUUUUUCUUAAUUUUUUAUGAUAAUUGAGGAAUAUAUAUAUUUAUACCGAAAAAACACCCAAGUUUAAAUGACCAGCCAUUAAAAUUAUUUAAUCGGUGGUUGAAUUAUUCUAACACACUACGUUAAGAUUUAUUUUUUAUACAAGUUAAAAUUAAAGCGCAUAUAUAUAUAUAUAUCAUCCCUUCUCAAGCUUGAGGGGAAAUUGUGGAACGGACCCAUCUCUUAGAAAAAACACAGAUAGCAAUAAUAAUGUUUGAUUUUGCCAACACCAUUAAAGUUAAAGCAUGAUUUUCUAAACGUGAUUUCCAUAAAGAUAGAAGGGAGGGCUCUGUAUCCAUCAUCUUGAUGGAAAGUGAGCUGGCCAGCGCUAACCUUUUAUUCAUGUUUUUCCACAAAGACUUUGACUUGGGGUCAACUUUUCGGUUAAUAUUUUUUAUAAUGUUAGAAAAAUCACUUUAAUUAUUCUUUCAAUCUUCCCGUGUGAUUCACUGCUUGGUGAUUCUAAAGUCGCCUAUUCAAACUUUAGCACAUUAUACAACUAAAUUUAUUCUUUCAAUCGGCAUUUAUUAUAUAUUCAAUUCGUUAAUCGUUAGAAAACUUAGUGAUUAAUAAAUUAUCUUUGUCAGAGUUAACUGUUUUUAGAUGAGUCUGGAUCAUUAUUUCUGUUUUAUUUUUAAUUUUUGAACUAUAAAAAUAUAGAUAAAUUUAAAAUAAAUAUCUUUUUACAAUAGUUUUUGAGUGAAAUUGGAGUAAAAUUUAUACUUUUAAAUAAAAAAUAUAUAAAAACAUGUUUUCUAUGUUCCCAUUAUUUUUGUAUUUUAUAUCAUGGUAAUUAAAUGUUGUCUGGUUAACAUAACACUAAAUCAUAAUUAAAAAAAAUAAUUGUGAAAUGGCAUGGUAGUUGGAUCUAUUUUUGUUUUGUGAUUAAAUUAAGUUUUUCGAUAAAUGACACAUGUUCGGGGACAAAUAAAAAAAAUAAUCUUAUUGCUAGAGAGGCAUUGGAGCCUUUAAUAUUUUGCAAAGGCAUGGAACACGAUGCCAAGGGAAUGUAAGAUAGUUGUUGACAGCUGGCGUCAACCAGAAAAUUCUAAAAUAUUCUCAUCAUUUCAAAGAAAAUUCUAUCAAGGAAGUGGUAACUCAUAAUUUCCAAGAAAAUUCUUUAUGUAUUUGGGAGGCCAGCAAAGUCAAAAGGGAGUGGUAACUCAUAAUUUCCAAGAAAAUUCUAUCAAGAAACGAAGAUACUAUCAGAGAAUAACAGGAAAUAAAUUUGUCUCCAUUUAUUUGGUAUCGAACCAUCUUAAUGGUUGUGAGAAAAUCAAGGCACAGUCACAGACAUAUCUAGAGAAGAUACAAAGUUAAGUUGAAACUUGUUAAUUCACCUUAAAAAGAUACUGAGCACACAAGUUUAUUUUCAAUUUAGGUUUUGCUAUAAAUUUAAAAGAAAAGGGAGUGUUUGACGUGCUAAGAAAUUCAAUGCUCACACUUUGAAUUUUAAUUUGCUUGUUUCGGGUCAUUGACAGCUAUAUAUAUAUAUAUAUUUGAAGUUUUUGUAUAUAAUACUGUAGCCACACAAUCCGUAGGGUUAAGAUUUAUAAUUAUUCCGAGUUUAUUAUUAUUGAUAAUUUAUGCAUUUAAUUAUAUAUGUGAUAGUGAUGACACCAUGCAAAUACUCCUAAAUGAUUUUAAAUUGUGACGAGAGAACUACAAUUAUUAAAGUAAAAAAGAUCAUACGCAGAAUCACAUGGAGUACUGUAACAAUAUUAAAUUUUUUUUUUUUUAUAAAUUGGAUAAUUAGUAACCCUAAAUAAUAUUCAAAUCUAGAAUAUUCUAAAAAAACAUUAAAUAAUAUUCAAAUCUCAAAACAUGAAACUCUAAGUUAUGACGGGAGAAGUACAAUUAUAAAGUAAAAAAGAUUUUACACGGAAUCACACACGAAUGUCGGUAACAAUGCUGAAGUACUACUACAAUUUUUUUUUAUUAUAUUUUAUUUAUAUAAAUUGGAUAAUUAGUAACCAAAAUAUGAUUUAAUGUAAAUAGACUAAGUGCUAAACAAUAAAUUAAAAUAAUAUUCAAAUCCUAGAAUAUUCCAAAAAAAAAAAUAUAUUCAAAUAUCAAAACAUGAAACCCUAAAUUAUGACGAGAGAAGUACAACUAUAAAGUAAAAAAAAAUUAACACGGAAUCACACAUGAAUGUCGAUAACAAUGCUGAAGUACUACCACAAUUAUUUUAUUUUAUUUUAUUUAUAUAAAUUGGAUAAUUAAUAACCAAAAUAUAAUUUAAUGCAAAUAGACUAAGUGAUAAACAAUAGAUUAAUAUUCCAAAAAAAAUAAAAUAAUAUUCAAAUCUCCAAACAUGUAACCUGCACAAGAUAUGCAGAUAAAGUCAAGGAAAUUAAAUGGCCAAAGAGUAGUAUAAAUAGGACCUCUAUGGUUGCCCAAAGGCACAUAACAAACAACAAUAUUCUACAAUUCAUAGAAUUAUCUAAGAUGAUGAUGAAAAGAAUUGGGGCUUGGAUGUUGCUAGCGUUUUUGGCUUUGGUUGGCGAAUGGCAUGGUCGUUGUUAUGGGUGUGUGGAGGAAGAGAGGGUUGGUCUCUUGGAGAUCAAAGCUUUGAUCGACCCACAUGGCUAUGACUUUUCCUUGAGAGAUUGGGUGGACAGUAGUAAUUGUUGUGAGUGGGAUGGGAUCGAGUGUGAUCCGACUACAAGACGAGUGAUCCAACUCUCUCUUAGUGGAGAAAGAGAUUAC
rnacentral:lncRNA from 1 species